ACUCCUCUUCUCGCUCUCGUCUUUACCUCUCUUUCUCAUGAACGGCGCGCGACGGUGCUGCGACGGAGAUCCUUCUCCGGUCGAUUCAUCUUCUUUCCCUCGCCGUGACUCAACUCUCCGAUUAGCUCUCCUCUCAAACGAAUCUCUCUCUAUUAGCUCUCACUGUGUUCGUUCUGUUGAAGUUGAUGUGAAGGUGUCGUUAUUGUUGCGUGGUUGCGAUGAUAAUGAUGAACAAUAUGAUGAUUGCCGAAAGCGAUUCGAAGAUAACGAACGAAAUCGCGUUGAAGAUUGCUGGUCGCAUUCUUGAAGGUGAUGGAGAUCGAUGUUGAUUUGCAGAGAUUCAAGGCGGAUGCUUGGGUUGAAGUAUGAAGAUUGGCCGUUGCAGGAUUGCGGUUGAAGAGGUAUAAACGGUUAUUGAAGAAAAGAGAAAGAUGAAGAUUGGUGGUUAGAGGUGUGAAGAAGAUGAAGAGAGAAUUGAUGGAUUCUUUUACGGUUCAGUUAAAGGUUUGUUACCCUUCUUUCUCUCUCAAUCUUCUUCUCCUUUUCUGUUAUGAACUUCUCUGAUCUUUUCUGUAUUUUUAUUUCCUGGUGAUUGAAUUGGAGAUUUUUGGUGGUGAUUGAAGAUUGGAAGAAGAAGGUUGAAGAUUGAGUGGGAUGAAGAGUGUGGAGAAGAGGAAGGAGAUGAUGAAGUUGCAGAGAGUGAGGAUUGAUUUGGUGAUGGUUAAUGGAGGCUCUGAAGAUUGAAGGUGUUGGAAGGAGAGUGGCGUGUAGCUCUGUGGUAUGAAGUGUUGAUGGUGAUGAAUGAGGAGUGGUGGAGAAAGAGGAGAGAGUGGCGGAGGAAAAUGAAGAGAGAAUCCAGAGGAAACUCAGAGAUGAAGAGAUCUGUUAUAUAGAGGUUCCCCCGGGUAUGAUUUUUGGGUCUGAACUGGGGCUUUUUCAUCUGUUUUGUUGUUGCAAGUUCUGAAUUGAUGCAGGGCUAUAUUGGAUGAUGUUCAGUUUCGAAUCGACUUUGGUGGCGGUAAUUCUAUGUUUUAUUUUGAAGCCGGUUAGUGAACUGUAUGGUGAGGAGUGAUGCUGUAUGUAUAUACUUGUGCAGGCUGCUCUUCUUUUUUCUUUUUUUUUUAUACGCAGGAAUGGUGUUGAACUGGCUUCGGUUUAUUGUUGUGUGCAAGGCUGGAAUUUGAAUUGAAUGCUGCUGGUUUGUGAAAUGGUUUUGUAACUGUUAGUAGGUUUAUGUUUGGAUAGUGUGAAUGAAAUGGAUACAUGAGGUAGCAAAGGGUAUGGCAACAACAAGGCAUGAAAUGGAAGAUCAUGAGAAAACUUAGUCUAUAAAUUUUGUAAUAUUCUUUUUUGAUCUUUAUACUUUUCCUUCCAUCUUGUACUUGAAAUUUGUAAAGGAUUUGAAUUUUUGUAAUGGGAUCGGAUGAAUGUAUAGACACUUGAAUUUGUCUUGAUGAAAUUGGU